rnacentral:rRNA from 1 species
CCUACGGGAGGCUGCAGUGAGGAAUAUUGGUCAAUGGCCGGAAGGCUGAACCAGCCAUGCCGCGUGAAGGUCAGUGCCCUAUGGGCGUUAAACUUCUUUUGUGCGGGAGCAAUAAUGGUCACGUGUGGCCAGACGAGGGUACCGUACGAAUAAGCAUCGGCUAACUCCGUGCCAGCAGCCGCGGUAAUAAGGGGGAUGCAAGCGUUAUCCGGAUUUAUUGGGUUUAAAGGGGGCGUAGGCUGUGAGGUAAGUCAGAGGUGAAAUGCCCCCGCUCAACGGGGUGAAGUGCCAUUGAUACUGCCGUGCUGGAAUGCGGAUGCCGUGGGAGGAAUGUGUGGUGUAGCGGUGAAAUGCAUAGAUAUCACACAGAACACCGAUUGCGAAGGCAUCUCACGAAUCCGCGAUUGACGCUGAUGCACGAAAGCGUGGGUAGCAAACAGGAUUAGAUACCCGAGUAGUC